GACUCCUUGAGAGUCCUGAAGGGACGUUGAAGACUACGACGUUGAUAGGCCGGGUGUGUAAGCGCAGCGAUGCGUUGAGCUAACCGGUACUAAUGACCCGUGAGGCUUAACCUUACAACGCCAGAGGCGUUU
rnacentral:rRNA from 1 species